rnacentral:rRNA from 1 species
AAAGGGUCCGUAGGCGGUUUUGUAAGUCAGUGGUGAAAUCCGGCAGCUCAACUGUCGAACUGCCAUUGAUACUGCAGGACUUGAAUUACUGUGAAGUAACUAGAAUAUGUAGUGUAGCGGUGAAAUGCUUAGAUAUUACAUGGAAUACCAAUUGCGAAGGCAGGUUACUAACAUUAUAUUGACGCUGAUGGACGAAAGCGUGGGGAGCGAACAGGAUUAGAUACCCCGGU